rnacentral:snRNA from 1 species
GGAUGUGAGGGUGAUCUGGCUGUGAUGUCUGUCACCCCAUUGGUGGCCAGGGUUGAUUCACCUGAUCUAGCUGGCUAGGUGGGUGUCCCCUUCCUCCCAAAGCUGCAUGCUAGGUCAAAAAGGAUGACUUUCCUUGACUGGCCUUUGGACAAGGGUAUACAAGUAGCUGUGCUCCUCUGCUAGAACCUCCAAACAAGUUCUCAAUAUGUUCUGAAUGAAAUGCACAAAAAUUCAAUUAAAAAAUAUUUUUCAGUAAUUUUUUAUUUAAU